AACCAGGGGAUUGAGUUAUAUAUUUUACGGUGAAAAGACAGUUAAAUAAAAUAAAAGGUUUAAUUCAUCGCGUUGUUAAGGGGUAGAAUCCGGAUACAAGCGAAUAUACUAACUAAAACCGGAGUAUUGAAGCUGUGAAAACUUUGAGGGAAACUAGGAUUAGAUACCCUAUUAUUCAUAGAUGUAAAUAAAAAAAUUUUACCUGAGCACUAAGAACAGAAAAUUUAAAACUCAAAGGGCUUGGCGGUGUUUUAGACUACUUAGGGGAACCUGUCUCAUAAUCGACAAUCCACGUUAAACCUAACCUUUUCUUGCAUUCAGUUUGUAUACCGUCGUCGCCAGGUAACUUUUAAGAUGGAAACAGUUAGCUAAUAAAUAAUUGAAUUGGAACGUCAGAUCAAGGUGCAACUGAUGAGAAGGUGUAGAUGGGUUACAAUUAUAAUACUCAUAACCACGGAUAAUGGUUUUAAAGUAUCAUUAGGAAGGAGGACUUAAAAGUAAAAUAGAUUAUAUAGAUAUUUUGAAUAAAGCUCUGAAACGUGC
rnacentral:rRNA from 1 species